GAAUUCAGCCCUUCUUGGGGCGUUUCCUCCCUGGACUUGGGCCGCCUGCACGCUACGUGCGGGCGGCUUCUUUCUGUGGA
rnacentral:sRNA from 1 species